rnacentral:rRNA from 1 species
CAAUAGCGUAUAUUAAAGCUGUUGCGGUUAAAAAGCUCGUAGUUGGAUUUCUGUCAAGGACAACUGGUCCGCCCUCCGGGUGAGCACAUAGUUUGGUCUUGGCAUCUUGCUGGAAACUGUUGCUGCGCUUGGUUGUGUGGUGCAGCUUUCAGCACUUUCACUUUGAGGAAAUUGGAGUGUUUCAAGCAGGCACAUGCCUUUGGACACAGUAGCAUGGAAUAAUUAGAUUGGGCUUUUGCUCCAACUUGUUGGUUCCUGGAGCUGAGGUGAGAAUCAAUGGGGAUUGUUGGGGGCAUCCGAAUUUAGCCGUCAGAGGUGAAAUUCUUGGAUCUGCUAAAGACGGACAACUGCGAAAGCGUUUGCACAGGAUGUUUUCAUUGA